rnacentral:rRNA from 1 species
GACGAACCGUGCGAACGUUGUUCGGAAUCACUGGGCUUAAAGGGCGCGUAGGCGGGCUGCCAAGUCUGGGGUGAAAUCCCACGGCUCAACCGUGGAACUGCCUCAGAUACUGGCGGCCUCGAGGAAGGUAGGGGCAUGCGGAACUAUGCGUGGAGCGGUGAAAUGCGUUGAUAUGCAUAGGAACUCCGGUGGCGAAGGCGGCGUGCUGGACCUUUUCUGACGCUGAGGCGCGAAAGCCAGGGGAGCAAACGGG